GUACUGAUGAAGAGUCCCAAACUAGACGGACGAAACAGUUGGUUGUCCAGUAC
rnacentral:hammerhead_ribozyme from 1 species